rnacentral:rRNA from 1 species
AUUGAACGCUGGCGGCAUGCCUUACACAUGCAAGUCGAACGGCAGCGGGGGAGAAGCUUGCUUUUCCUGCCGGCGAGUGGCGAACGGGUGAGUAAUACAUCGGAACGUGCCCUGUAGUGGGGGAUAACUAGUCGAAAGAUUAGCUAAUACCGCAUACGACCUGAGGGUGAAAGUGGGGGACCGCAAGGCCUCAUGCUAUAGGAGCGGCCGAUGUCUGAUUAGCUAGUUGGUGGGGUAAAGGCCUACCAAGGCGACGAUCAGUAGCUGGUCUGAGAGGACGAUAAGCCACACUGGGACUGAGACACGGCCCAGCCUCCUACGGGAGGCAGCAGUGGGGAAUUUUGGACAAGGGGCGAAAGCCUGAUCCAGCAAUGCCGCGUGUGUGAAGAAGGCCUUCGGGUUGUAAAGCACUUUUGUCCGGAAAGAAAUGGCUCUGGUUAAUACCUGGGGUCGAUGACGGUACCGGAAGAAUAAGGACCGGCUAACUACGUGCCAGCAGCCGCCGUAA